GGCGACCACGUGAUGUCCGCGUAGUUGUAGGUGGUGUGCUUGCCGGCGGCCGUCCUGGGGCGGUCCAGGAAGAGCAGGUCGUGGGCCUUGAGGAACAGCUCGGCCAUCUCGGGCGACGAGGCGACGACGACGGAGUAGGAGCCGAAGCGGAGGUGCAUGAGCUCGCCGUACUUGUUGGAGAGCUCGUGGAUGGAGCGGUGCGGGAGCGCGCCGACCAGGUUCAGGUUGCCGAUGACAGGCCAUGGCCUCGGGCCCGGCGGGAGGCGAUAAACACGGCGGCGGGACUUGCAUUUCAGACUGCGGAGG
rnacentral:misc_RNA from 1 species